rnacentral:rRNA from 1 species
GACGAACGCUGGCGGCGUGCUUAACACAUGCAAGUCGAACGGAAAGGCCCUGCUUUUGUGGGGUGCUCGAGUGGCGAACGGGUGAGUAACACGUGAGUAACCUGCCCUUGACUUUGGGAUAACUUCAGGAAACUGGGGCUAAUACCGGAUAGGAGCUCCGGCUGCAUGGGGGGGGUUGGAAAGUUUCGGCGGUUGGGGAUGGACUCGCGGCUUAUCAGCUUGUUGGUGGGGUAGUGGCUUACCAAGGCUUUGAGGGGUAGCCGGCCUGAGAGGGUGACCGGCCACAUUGGGACUGCGAUACGGCCCAGACUCCUACGGGAGGCAGCAGUGGGGAAUAUUGCACAAUGGGCGGAAGCCUGAUGCAGCAACGCCGCGUGCGGGAUGACGGCCUUCGGGUUGUAAACCGCUUUCGCCUGUGACGAAGCGUGAGUGACGGUAAUGGGUAAAGAAGCACCGGCUAACUACGUG